UUACUCGUAGUUUUUAGAGAAGGAUGACCCGAACAUAUAGAAUAUUUCCUCCAUGUAAAAAUCCAUUGUGGUCACGUGACCCAGUGUUUCGCGCCAUCUUUGCCGCAUGUUGGCCUGUCUGGCUCCGGAACUCAGAGGGAGAAGAACUUGACCAGGUUAAAACAAUGGCAGAUCCGGAGAAGGGAACUGAAACGGAAACAGCUGUAGCACCAACUGCUGAACCAGUCACGCCAGCUGCUCCAGCUACUCCAGCUGACCCAGCUACUCCUGCUGCCCCCACUGCCCCAGCCACUCCAGCUGCCCCAGCCACUCCUGCUGCCCCAGCCACUCCUGCUGCCCCAGCAGCAGAGGAAGAUGGGUCUGAGGAAGAGAUGGAAGAAGUAGAGGAGGAAGAGGGUGGUGAGCGCAAGGAGCUGGUAGACAAACUAAUGAGGGAUCCUCAGGUGCUGGCUGCCCUCCAGACCAAACUCCGUCGCUUCCUUGGCACUCCCUCGGGUUACAUUAGUUCUUUGCCAUUAUCUGUGAAGAGACGUAUAAAGGCAUUGAAAAAGUUACAACUUCAAUACACAGAUUUAGAGGCAGACUUCUACAAAGAAGUUCAUGCUCUAGAGGUAAAGUAUGAUAAGAUGCACCAGGCUUUGUAUGAGAAACGAAGACUAGUAGUAAAUUCAGAGUAUGAACCAAAUGAUGACGAGUGUGACUUCCCUUCAGAUGAAGAGGAGGAGGAAGAUAAAGGCCUUAGUAAAGACAUGGAAGAAAAGGCUAAAAUAGACGAGAAAGAAGACCCAAAGGUGCACGCAUUUGAUGAAAAUACUAAAGGGAUCCCUGAGUUUUGGCUGACGAUUUUCAAGAAUGUUGACCUUCUAGCAGAGAUGGUUCAAGAUUAUGAUGAGCCAAUAUUAAAGCAUUUAACUGAUAUCCAGUUGAAGUUCCAUGAUGAACCAAUGGGUUUCACCUUAGAAUUUCACUUUAGUGACAACGAGUUUUUCACAAAUAAUGUUUUAACAAAGCAUUAUGAAAUGAAGUGUGUUCCAGACAAGGAUGAUCCCUUUGGAUUUGAGGGACCUGAGAUUUUCAAAUGCAAGGGAUGUACCAUAGACUGGAAGAAGGGAAAGAAUGUAACUGUUAAAACAAUAAAGAAGAAGCAAAAGCAUAAAUCUCGAGGGGCUGUUAGGAUUGUAACAAAAACUGUGCAGAAUGAUUCAUUUUUCAACUUCUUCAAUCCACCACCAGUUCCUGAAGAUCCAGAUGAGGAUAUGGAUGAAGAUACCCAGGCCUUGUUGACUGCAGAUUUUGAAAUUGGCCACUAUAUUCGUGAGCGAAUUGUUCCCAGAGCAGUCCUCUUUUAUACUGGUGAAGCGUUGGAUGAUGAAGAUUUUGAGGAAGAGGAGGGAGAGGAAGGGAUGUGAUUUUUCCACGGAUCGAAGGGCUGAUUUGGUCAGUGGUCACCCGUGUAUCAUGCAAAUAUGGAGAGGAAGGUGAUGACGAGGAGGAAGACGAUCCAGAUUAUGAUCCAACAAAAGACAAAGCAGCAAAGGGUCAACCACCCGAGUGUAAACAGCAGUGACCUUCUGGUAAAAGUUAGGACUUCAUUAACCUGAUGCAGCAACAUCUGGCAUGUUUGGUGGCGAAGAAAAGGCUGUAUGGUUGUAUGUAAAUGAUUUGAAAAUUGGUGGAUUGCCUUCUCAGUUAAUUCAGCUGUGAAAAAUGUAUAAAGGAUAUUGAAAGUUUAAAGGAAAGCAAAAAUAUGAUUUGCCACUGGCAUUAGACUUUGGAUCAUGCAAAAAUAGCAAUAGGUUUGCCUGCCUGCUGCUGUUUUCUUGAAAUUAGAUUUUUUUUUUCAAGAGGAUUCCUAGUACUGUGGGUUUACCAUGCCAAAUCAGCAGAAUGUGUCCCCCAGAGUUGCUGAAUACCCAGGGACUAGCAAAUCUUUUGAGUAUGGGGAAUUUUAUGUAGAUCUGAUCAAUUUCCUUCUAUUAAAAAUUUAUGUAUAUUCCAAAGAAUAUUCUUAGAUUAAUAAAAUGGAAGGAUGAUUGUUGGUACCUACAGUUAAGUUGUUCAUUUGUAAUGUGGGUUGUAGACUAUUUUACCACAAUGCUAACUUGUUGUAGGACCAGCAUGAUGGGAUCUCUGUUCAUCCAUAAGGGUACUAAAAAGUUAAUUGUGAUAUAAUGCAUAUUAAAAAUGUCUGCACGGUUCUGUAAUCAUUUGAGAUUUAUAAGUUUUAGGUUCAUUAUUUUUUACAAGUGUCACUGCAUUACUCAGAGCUUUAACAAUGUAUUUGAUGGCUGUUAUGUUGCACUUAGUCCUAAGUCCCAUUGGCGAUGUUUUGGGCAGUUACCAUAGAGGUAUAUUUACCUAGGGGAUUGACAAGGGUGUUGCAUUUUCCUAUUGUAGGAGUUUAAAUUUUAAUGUGGAUAUUAUUUUUAAUGCCUGUUAAUUGCCUGAUAAACUAUGGAUAAAUGGUGUAACCAGUAUGCUUGGUAAAUCAUUGUAAUAGCUUUGUUACCACUACUGCUAAUAUAUAUAUAUGCUCCUUUUUCAAAAAAUGUUUCUGUACCCUAUCUUUGCUGUUUUGUACUAGCUGUGUGCAGAAUUUGUACCACAUUUUCAAUUCCCAAUACUCACCCUUAGUCAAAUAAAUGUCCUAUUUAUAA